UACGUAGGGGGCAAGCGUUGUCCGGAUUUAUUGGGCGUAAAGAGCGUGUAGGCGGCUUCACAGGUCCGCUGUGAAAACUCGAGGCUUAACCUCGAGAUGUCAUCGGAAACCAUUUGGCUAGAGUCCGGAAGAGGAGAGUGGAAUUCCUGGUGUAGCGGUGAAAUGCGCAGAUAUCAGGAAGAACACCAAUGGCGAAAGCAGCUCUCUGGGACGGUACUGACGCUGAGACGCGAAAGCGUGGGGAGCGAACAGG
rnacentral:rRNA from 1 species